UACGUAGGGUGCAAGCGUUGUCCGGAAUUAUUGGGCGUAAAGGGCUCGUAGGCGGUCCAUCGCGUCGGGAGUGAAAAGCUGGGGCUUAACCCCAGUCCUGCUUCCGAUACGGGUGGACUAGAGGUAGGUAGGGGAGGUCGGAAUUCCUGGUGUAGCGGUGAAAUGCGCAGAUAUCAGGAGGAACACCGGUGGCGAAGGCGGAUCUCUGGGCCUUACCUGACGCUGAGGAGCGAAAGCAUGGGGAGCAAACAGG
rnacentral:rRNA from 1 species